rnacentral:rRNA from 1 species
UCGAGAAUUUUUCACAAUGGGCGAAAGCCUGAUGGAGCGACGCCGCGUGGGGGAUGAAUGGCUUCGGCCCGUAAACCCCUGUCAUUCGCGAGCAAACGUUAUUAUUUAAAAGAUGAUAGCCUGAUAGUAGCGAAAGAGGAAGGGACGGCUAACUCUGUGCCAGCAGCCGCGGUAAUACAGAGGUCCCAAGCGUUGUUCGGAUUUACUGGGCGUAAAGGGUGCGUAGGUGGUGGGGUAAGUCGGAUGUGAAAUCUCCGAGCUCAACUCGGGAAGUGCAUUUGAAGAUACCCUGCUCGAGGAUUGGAGGGGGGACCGGAAUACUUGGUGUAGCAGUGAAAUGCGUAGAUGUCAAGUGGAACACCAGUGGCGAAGGCGAGUCCCUGGACAACUCCUGACACUGAGGCACGAA